rnacentral:rRNA from 1 species
AGCGAACGCUGGCGGCAGGCCUAACACAUGCAAGUCGAACGAACUCUUCGGAGUUAGUGGCGGACGGGUGAGUAACACGUGGGAACGUGCCUUUAGGUUCGGAAUAACUCAGGGAAACUUGUGCUAAUACCGAAUGUGCCCUUCGGGGGAAAGAUUUAUCGCCUUUAGAGCGGCCCGCGUCUGAUUAGCUAGUUGGUGAGGUAAUGGCUCACCAAGGCUACGAUCAGUAGCUGGUCUGAGAGGAUGACCAGCCACAUUGGGACUGAGACACGGCCCAAACUCCUACGGGAGGCAGCAGUGGGGAAUCUUGCGCAAUGGGCGAAAGCCUGACGCAGCCAUGCCGCGUGGAUGAUGAAGGUCUUAGGAUUGUAAAAUCCUUUCACCGGUGAAGAUAAUGACUGUAGCCGGAGAAGAAGCCCCGGCUAACUUCGUGCCAGCAGCCGCAGUAAGAC